rnacentral:lncRNA from 1 species
CCAGCUCAGCUAGGGCUUGGGCCCUCGAAGGUUGAAGUGGCACGGCUUGGGAUGUGGCCUUGGCACCAUGGGUUUUGCCGAGGGUGGCCACUGUGGUGGUUGCCACGAUGGUGCCAUGUGGGGGUAGUGUCGCUCCACUCAUCAUUGUGUUGAGCCUUGUAGAUCGCGCCGAUCCUAAUCGUUGAACGUUGGAAUUUCCGUUCGUCGAAGUUUCCGAAUCUCUUGCCAUUGUACUUUUCUUUUACGUUUUAUCAAAGAAUUUUUAAAAAUAAAAAAUUCCAAGAAUAAGAACAUACGAAAAAUAGCGAGAGUCUUCUACAAGUGUAUGACUCAACUCUCAAUGAAAGCACUAAUUUGUGGAUGCAAAUUUUCGCCUUCUUCCUUGGACAAAAUUGCACCUACAGAACAAUUAACACAUUUGGUCAAGGCCAAGAGCCUCACGCACCCAUGAUGAAUGGGGGGGCUUUGGCCGAAAAACCUCUGAUGCCAAAGUUAGAAUUUGAAGGAAAAGUGUUUAGAGAAUUUGGAGAAUUUUGCAAGAGUGUUGAACUUAAGUUUUUGGACAAAAUGAGGUGGUAUUUAUAAGGGUGAGGCCAGCCCCUUUGAGAGAGAUGGGAACCAGCCACUUUAGUGGUUUUUUGGGUGUAAUUCACAAUUAAUUAGCUAAUUAAUAAAUUAAUUGAGUAAUAAAUCAAUUAAUUAGCCAAUUAAUAUAAUUUGAAAGAAAUAAUUUGAGAGUUACCUUGUGGGAAGGAUUUGAUGAAGAUGAAUGAAAUAUGUUUUGAAUAAUUACCUAUUUUGACCACUUUUGAUCUUGAUGAUUGUCCGCUGCUUACGCAUAAAAAUCCCGGUAUGCCUCAAGGGUAAUCUUGUCAUUUUUGCCCAAAAAUCCACGUGUCACCUCCAUAUUUUCCUUGAUUUUUUUUACUCCACAUCUGUGACUUGAGAAUUUGAGAGCGAAGCAGGCAGCAGGUUCCAAUUUUAUGUCUUUUCUUUUCUUCUCCUCUUGUUUAUUCUUUUACUAAUUACUGUAAUUACUAAUUAUUAUGUUUACAAAUAAAAAACUGACACACCCCGUCUCGAAGGAGGGCAUGCUGGCCGUCACGUGAGAGUGACGUAACCAUUUGCACAGUACGAAAGCUUUAAUUAUACAAUUUAUAAGUUGAUACACCCUAAGGUGAGUCCUAAUUUUGUCCAAUCUGUCAGAACCCCGCUGUAUUCCUCGUAGUCACCACACCUUUGUGAUUCCUGAACCUGGAGGGGCGCAAAACCAAAAUUGAGUGGGUCAGUAAAACAAUUCUUUUCCAAAUCCAAACAUUUCUCAAAACGUUGUAACCCCUCUCCGUAAAACCUGUAUACUUUCCCAGAAAUGUAAAAUAUAAAUAUACAUAUAUAUUCUCAAGACUUCAAGUCGUUAACUCAACAUUUUCAUAACAAUUAUGCCAUGCCACAUCAUCUCAACAUUUCUCAUAUUAAUUAUGCCAUGCCACAUCAUCUCAACAAUAAUAAGGUAUGAAUGCAUCAACAUAAUCAUAUCAGGUGCAAGAAAGUAAUCAACCGUAGGCCCUCUAAUAGCCCUGUACGGUUGAACCUAGAGCUCAAAAUCUAUCACUAUCACUCUACCGGAGUCACCUCUGUGACCUGUCCGGCCUUCUGCACACAAGUUACGCUCUAGUGCUUCUCAUAAAUCAUCUGUGCACAUAAUCUAAGGUCACCCACCAGUCGGAAUCUCACUAACACUCUCGCGACUGGCCUGUCGUACCCACUCCGCGUGGACUGUACGACUAGCAUCUACUUGGAUCCAAGGCGAGCGUGCGAUGCGGUGAAUACUAUAAGCACUAAACCAUGGUGCAGGAUUUGAGCUCAAUAUAUAUAUCAUCAUCAUAACAGUAAUUAAAUACUCACCUGUGCGUCCACCGCACCAUUUCAUACAUAUGCAUCAUAAAUCAAUUCUUACCUGUGCGUCCACCGCACCAAUUCAUACAUAUGCAUCAUAUAUUAAUUCAUGCAUGGCAUUUCAACUCACAUUUCUAUAUACUUUUCAUAUCAAUUCUAUGCAUGGUAUUUCACUUCCCGUUUUUCCACAUAACUCAUAUGCAUUUCAUUUAAACAUAUUUUCAUUUCCAUUCAAUUUCUGGGAAACGUCAAGUAUAUAUAUAUAUACGGAAAACAAAACUGCCCACUCACCUGGAGUUCGCCCUACAACUCCCUAGCACAAUACGCCAAGGCGUCAUGACGAUCGGCGCCUAAAACAAUAAUCAAUUCCAACCUCAGAAUUCAUAUCGAUAGAAUAUAUAACUUAUAUAAAAUACGUCACUACGUAGAUUGAUCCGGAAGAUCCACCCCUCAGAUUUUAAAUCCAUAACUUCCAGAGGUCCACAUUAUACCUCUAGGACAACAUCCUAAAAUUUCAUUACCAUCCAACGGUCGGAUCUCCGUCAAUUCACAUUUUCACCUAAAUGUGAAAAUUAUAAAACGUUAUUUGAACACCUAACCAACAAUCCUCAAUAACUUUCUCAUACGGUGUUCAAUUUAGGUAUAUGAAUAUACCAUAGUGAUCUACUCGACGUCACGGACGUCGACAUAUUUUUAAAAUAAUUUUAUUUUUAUUUUUUAUUUUUACUGUAGCACCUUCUUCUUCCUUGGGUCGCCGGACUGGUUUUUCCGGCGGCCGUUUUCCGGGCAGUUUUUCAAAUUGCCAUAACUUUGUCAUUUCUCAACGAAAUCAAGUGAUUCAAAAACGAAAGUUGUAGCCCUUGAAGAUACAAAGAGAAUGGUACCUUGCACAACACCUAAUUCGCCGUGGUUUGGCCGGCAACUGCCUCGAAAGCCUCGGAGGUCGCCGGAAACUGGGUAUUUUUCAAAUGAGUAUAACUUCUUCAAUACUCAACGAAAUUGAGUGAAACAAAAAGGAAAGUUGUAGUACUUGACGAGACGAAGAGAUUGAUACCUACCUCGACUCCUAACUCUCCGGGGAUUCGCCGGAAAACGCCUCGAAAGCUCCGGCCAAACUUUGAACUUGUCGAUCUCCGUGUUCUUACGUCCAAAAACUUCCAACGAAGCACUCCGAGCUUCCUUGGGACCUUACUAAACUCGCUGUUAUCUUGUUUUAGCCUAAAACGUAACCAAUUCAAAGCUCAUGAACAGUGUCAUCUCACGGCAACUUUAGAACUAGGGUUUUCGAAGUGAAACUCACCUGAAAUUGGUGUCUACGUGAUCGUGGAAGUUCCAGGAGUCCAAAUGUGGUCUUAUCUUGGACGUUUGUUUAUGUUUUAGGUGGUUUUGGGUGAGGUUGAGCGUCGGAGAGGAAGAGAGAGGACUGAGAGUGAGAGAGAGUCGUGAGGGAAGAGAGAUAGAGAGACAAGGUACGGGAAUUGGGGAAGGUUUUGAGGGAUGUGGGGAUCCCACGUGUCCAACUCAAUCCAAAUUGUUAAAUUUUCGCCCCUUAGUCCCGUUUAAGGGCAUUUUCGUCUUUUCAUGUCCUCGAAAUUAAAAUUCCGGGACGGGCUGUGACAAUCUUCCCUCCUUAUAGAAUUUCGUCCCCGAAAUUCCAGCAACCAACUAAAUCAACCAUACUCCAACAAUAGCUUCGGGUAAAUCUUUCUCAUCCGAUUCUCUUUCUCCCACAUACUUUUUCUACUGAAUGAUUUCCUUCACAAAGCUUUUACUACUUACUCUGUCUUAAUUCUUAGGACCUUCUUUUUCAAUCCAAUCCAAAGUCGACAUUUAGUUCCUCACCAAUCAGAUCCGGCUUAAUUCUCAAUAGUUGCACCAAAGUCCCAUGUAACGACUCUGCCACUUAGUGACAACGCAUCGAACACAAAAUACAUUAUGUGCCUUAGCCAAUUCUGAAGGCAUCACAAACUUGUAUGGAACUUUAUUGAUUCCUUUAGUGAAAAAAAAAAAAAAAAUGGUCUGAUGUGUCUAAAUCUUAUCUUGUCUCUUUCCAAUUCUCGUCAUUUCUGUUCGCGGUGAAUUUUCCAAAAAUAUCAAAACCAUUUACCUUACACACUCGAUUAGUGGCAUAUCCAUCUGUUGAUCUCUUUUGCCAUUCCUGGUUACUUCAGGUUAACUUAAUCACCUGAAUACUUUGAGGAAACUCAUCCAUAGUCUCAGGGUCUAUUAAAACUCUUUCUUGAUCGAAUCCUUCUCUACCCAGAAACAUUCCAUUCACAAGUCAUCAAAAACCGACUCACAUGACACAUUUCAUGAUCCUUAUGGCGUUACUUCGGAAACUGCACAACCAACAUACUUAAGAAACUCAACAGUUCCGUAAACUAAUUCUCUUUUCCAUAAAACAAAUAAGUAAUGUUGCACUGUCUGGGAAAGGUUGUUACUCAACACUGGAGUAAAUGUACUAACUUGUUACUUAACAAGUAUAACUUCUUCUCGAUCUUCCAUUCUUAAUUUUUCUUCCGUUGGUUUUCAAUCCACAAGAUGAUACUCUUGGCAAACGUGCCAGACAUUAAUCUUACUGUAGUCUUCUCACCAAGUGCUUGAGCUAGAACAAACUUUACGAUCACCCUGAUCGUACAAUCAUGUUCAUUAAGCAAUACAAUUCACUUUCGCUGCCUCAUAUCAAAAUCCUUCCAAGUAAUGGAUAUUGAAGACUUUUUGGAUUCGUAAAAAUCUUGCAUUCUUACCAAAUAUAAUGCCUUCAUAACUUCACAGCAAGAAUGGUAAUCAUGACUUCCAAGUCACCCGUAGGGUAAUUCAUCUUAUGAGAUUCCAUUUAUCGUGAAACGUAUGCAAUCACCCUAACAUUUGCAUCAACAUGCAUCCAAUACCAUUCAAGAAACAUCACUAAAAAUUUAUGAUUACCACUAUUCUCUGGGAAUACCAAAAUACGUGCAUGAGUGAGGAAAUACUUCAGUUGUUGAAUCCUUUGCUCACAAUUUCCUUCCCACUCAUACAUAACCUCUUUUCUCAACAGUUCUCGUCAAUGACAAAGCAAUGACUGAAAAAUCUUUCACAACCAUCCAAGAUAGCCUGGUAAGCUAAGAAAUUCCGAAUCUCAAUUACAGUUCGUGGUUGUUCCAAUUCCUCAAUUUCUGCUAUCUUUUAAGGAUUCACUUGAAUACCUUAAGAAUAUAUAACAAAUCUCAGAAUGCCACCUGAUUCAUCUAACUUUAGCAUUUGCUACUUAGCAUACAACCGACAUUCUUCCAAUCUUUGUUCCACCGACUUAAUACAUUUACAUGCUCUGCUCUGGCUCAGAAUAUGCCAGAAUAUCUUCAAUGAAAAUGAUAUCUAUUUAUCAAGGCAUUAUUGGAAUACUUCAUCCAAUAACUCAUAAAACAGCAUGAGUAUCCAUAUAGCAUCACCAUAGUUCAUAAAACCAAUCUUAAGAACAACGUCGCUCAUAAUCUUUUAAUUGGUAAUAACCAGACCUCAAUUCAAUCUUUGAAUCUUCGCAAUUACUUCUGAGCUGGUUAAAUAAACAUCAGUACAUCACCAUGGAUAACGGUUCUCAAUCGUUACCCGACUCCAUUGUCUAUAAUCAAUGAACAGUCUCAAGAUCCAUUUUCUUCCUCACCAACAAACUGGGGCUCCUCAAAAGUGUUGUACUAGGUUGAAUGAAACUUUUAUCAACCAAUUCUUUCAACUGAAUUUCCAAUUCCCUUAACUCAUCCUGAACCAAUCUCCAAUAUAAAUUUAUACCUGGCAACAAAUCAAUAAUGAACCUCAUAUCUCUGCCUGAAGGCAAUCCAGGUAUACUUUCAAGGAAGACAUCAAGAAAAGUCUAACUCUUUCGACAUUAUUCACACUACUCCAAACAACAUCAUUUAGCACCACAUGAGCUAAGUAUUUUUGACAGCCUUUCGAAAACAAUCUCUUUGCUCUCACAGCAUAAAUAACAGGCCUGACUCAAUCCAUUUUGCAUACUUACAAAAGUAAUCUCUGUUCAUCCAGAUCGAUGGAAAGUACUGGUUUUCCAUAACAUUUCGUCUUGUCACAAUUAUAACCAACCAAUCUAAUGGAACAGAAUUAACUGAUACAAUAUAUAUUCUAUUAUUAUUAAGCAUUCCAAAUAAGUACAAUACUAACAUAAAUAAUCUACCGGGUUGCUUGCUUAACGAAUCCACGAAUGAGUUAUUAAUAUUACGGUCUGCAGCCCGCAAUACUGAUAAAUCAUCGUUGUCUCGAUAAGUAGGCAACCACUCUCAAAGAUAUAACAUUACUAUUUUGUCACUCAAUGCAAAAUACAUACACUCAUCUCAACUACAUUUAUUUACUACUCUCAAGGUAAUAACAUACAUAAUAAGAAAUAUAUCAGCCGAAGUCAACUAGAAUGACCAAUACGGCUGAUUCAACUCUUAUCUCAAUAAUACGUCGGCCGGAUCCACUCCGCGGGUCGGUACGGCCGAGCCUAUAACUCACUAAUUUCUCAUGUGUCAAUCGAAUCCACUUCUCAUGGUCUGUACAGCUGAACAUAUAACUCAUCAAAUCUCUCUGUACUCACGGUCAAUCCGACCAAACUACUAAGUCCAUAACUCUGCUGAAUCGACACUAUGAUAUCAUGGAAAAUUAUUGAGUACAACUGAUUCUAGGGACGAUCACAAUUCUGUGUCCCUCUGUUCACAUAAACACAUUCAUUAAUUUCACAUUUCCCAAAGUGUUAAUUUUGUACCUGCUGCACAAGGUACAUUUCCUUUACUCGAGACACCUUGUCUCAAAUAUCUGGGAUUACCAGUAUAUCCAUCACUUUUACUCUGACCAGCGACAUUAAAACCUCAGCUGGAAGAAUUAACUCUACUUCACUUCUUUCGAAGCUCUGAAUCUUUCUAUAUCCUUGAUAUGACGAAUCAUUAACUUUAUCGUCAACUUCCUUGAUUCACAUUUGCAAACUCUUGCUUACUACCAUCGAUAAAUGCCGGAGGGAUAAACUUUUCCUUAAACAAGUCCUUAAAUAAUUCUCAAUCAGCUGUUUCCUCCGGUGACAACAAUCUAACAUCCUGUUUCCACCAGGAUACAAAUUCAUACCCAAAACCAGGUAGUCGUCUCGACCCCCUGUCAGAAGGAAGAUUCCUUUGACUUGCAUAAUCUGAAACAUCUUUUCCAAAUGGUUAAACCGUUACUUCGUUCCCUCAGGUUCAUCAUUUCUCUUAAGUGAUUCAAAUUCAACUCAUUACCAUCUUAAAAUGUCCAUUUUGAUAAUAUACUGAAUCACCAUAAUAAUAGUUUCCCCAAACCCGCUAAAUCAGGGAGACUAAGUUCCUCUAACUACAUGGUUUGCUACGAGGCGGUGUAGUUCUGACAGAAUUCACUAGAACUUCUCAAAAUGUCCAAAAAUUCCAACCAUGCUCUGAUACCAACUGACACACCCCGUCUCGAAGGAGGGCAUGCUGGCCGUCACGUGAGAGUGACGUAACCAUUUGCACAGUACGAAAGCUUUAAUUAUACAAUUUAUAAGUUGAUACACCCUAAGGUGAGUCCUAAUUUUGUCCAAUCUGUCAGAACCCCGCUGUAUUCCUCGUAGUCACCACACCUUUGUGAUUCCUGAACCUGGAGGGGCGCAAACCAAAAUUGAGUGGGUCAGUAAAACAAUUCUUUUCCAAAUCCAAACAUUUCUCAAAACGUUGUAACCCCUCUCCGUAAAACUGUAUACUUUCCCAGAAAUGUAAAAUAUAAAUAUACAUAUAUAUUCUCAAGACUUCAAGUCGUUAACUCAACAUUUUCAUAACAAUUAUGCCAUGCCACAUCAUCUCAACAUUUCUCAUAUUAAUUAUGCCAUGCCACAUCAUCUCAACAAUAAUAAGGUAUGAAUGCAUCAACAUAAUCAUAUCAGGUGCAAGAAAGUAAUCAACCGUAGGCCCUCUAAUAGCCCUGUACGGUUGAACCUAGAGCUCAAAAUCUAUCACUAUCACUCUACCGGAGUCACCUCUGUGACCUGUCCGGCCUUCUGCACACAAGUUACGCUCUAGUGCUUCUCAUAAAUCAUCUGUGCACAUAAUCUAAGGUCACCCACCAGUCGGAAUCUCACUAACACUCUCGCGACUGGCCUGUCGUACCCACUCCGCGUGGACUGUACGACUAGCAUUACUUGGAUCCAAGGCGAG